AUGUGGUGUGUUCAUGUAUGUACCUAAGAAGUGACAUGCUGUUAUACAAUUAUAUAAAGGUGAAUCUGUUUUAAUUCUAGUUGUCCAGCUACAGAUGAAGAUGCUUAGUAUGAUGAAUCAUCCUCUGUUGUCAUGGACGAACCUGGCGAUGUGUUAUGGAGGAGGAAAAAACAAAAAAGACUCAUCUGAUGAGAAACCACUGCAAGAAUCUCAUCCUGUUCACACAAGUCUGUGCAGCAUGCAUGUAUCAGCAUUUUUGGUGACCAGUGACUUCUCUUCUGAGGGACGUGAAUUCCAAAUGUGUGUUUGUUGUGACGUGUGUGAACCAUGUGCAUCAUGCCUCUUGUCACAAUACGUGCCUGCUGCACACGCAUUGAAAAGGUUUAUGAUAAAAGAAGCACUCAUGUUCACAAAAUACUCGCAAGACACUAACUUGACACUAAACUGUAAUUACACAGGAGAUUAAGUGAGUAUCAGGCAAACGUGAGCAUAUCAUUUAUCAUAAACCCUUUACAUGCGUGUGCAGCAGAUUUUGACAUCACGUGUGAUGCACAUAAGUUUACAUGAUGUGCUGAACACAUAUUUUGAAAUGACGAGCCACACACAUGACGAGCUCAAUGCAUGUGACCAGCUUCGCAACGUGCGCCCUCGAAAAAGAAGUCACCGGCCGACACUGACCCAGAUCAUCAAGAUGUUAAAGCUGUUUGGGCUUCAGAGCAUCUUGUCAGCACCUUCUUCCACCAUGUACACAAUUUCUACCAUCGUGAAGGCGUGGCAGAAUGAAAGAUUUGCAGUCACCACAGGCAGCACUGUCCUGUCUUCCACUACACCUGCUCCCCUCUCCAGAUCCAUCCAGAGGAUCAACAAGGCUGAAGCUGUUGGGAUCUAUUAAUCACAUCAUUCACAAUUUAACACACUUCAACACAUUAUUAUAAUACCCUGCACAUAUGAUGGGAAAGAUACUGAAAAAUUGUUAAAUGUUUUUAAAUGGGUCAGAUUGUAUAUCUUUUUUUCGGUGCUACAUAAAUAAAACUAAAUCGAAUUACAAAUGCAGAUCUACUUGGUAUAUAUCUGAUCUAAACUUCAUAAACCAGUUUUUAUACGGUAAGACAAUUUGUGAUUAUUGUUUAUUGAUUGUCACAAAAUGGGGGUAUUCAAACCAUUUAUAAAGUCCUCCUUCCUCUGGAACCUGUUCUUGAAUGGCUGACACAUGUAGGUAAGGGCGCCUGCACAGAGUUCCUUAGACGCCCAGCGGAUAACUUGCCUAUGCUGUAUUUAGUGGUAUUGUCUGGAGAUGGGAAAACUAUUAAUAUUGUUAAUUUGAAUAUUGACUAGUGCCAGCAAAAAUUGUUACUUAGUCAUGACCUAUAGGCAACUUGUAAUUAAAACAAAUUCAUUAAGAUUGUUUAAAAACAAAUUUAUUAAGAUUGUUUUAACAUUCAAAUCUUUAGUUUACUGUUCAUUUAUACAUGGAUAUUAAAUAAAUUAGUAAUAAAUAAUCUCUGCCAUAAACAUACUCAUUUCUACUGGCCUGGCCUGUAGCACAUAUGGGUUCAGACAGCUCACCUCUCCUGCGGUGAUGAGCAACAUCUGUAUCACCUAACG